GAUGCUAUAGUGUAAUGGGUAACACGCUCGUGAUAAAUCGAACUGUAAGCUUAAUGAAAUCACGGGUAAUGGUAGUUCGAGUCUACCUAGCAUUC